UACAGAGGGUGCGAGCGUUAAUCGGAAUUACUGGGCGUAAAGCGUGCGUAGACGGUUAUUUAAGUCGGGUGUGAAAGCCCCGGGCUCAACCUGGGAAUUGCAUUCGAGACUGAAUAGCUAGGGUACGGUAGAGGGAAGCGGAAUUUCCGGUGUAGCGGUGAAAUGCGUAGAUAUCGGAAGGAACAUCAGUGGCGAAAGCGGCUGCCUGGACCAGUACCGACGUUCAGGCACGAAAGCGUGGGGAGCAAACAGG
rnacentral:rRNA from 1 species